rnacentral:sRNA from 1 species
GCAUUUACUACAACGCGCACAGUCCGCGGU